rnacentral:lncRNA from 1 species
AUGGUACUUACUAGAAAGAAACGUAGGGACUUGGGGAUAGUGACAAGUCCAUUGUUCCAGGAGUGUUAUGAGAAACAGAGUAAAAUCACGCAAUACUUUUUACAUACAAGGGACAACGAGAAUGGAAAUGGAAAUGGAAAUGGAAAUGAGCAAAAGAUGGCUGAGAUGGUUGAGUUGAAGCAGGAUGAGGCUCUUCUUUUUCCCUCUGCUGCUCAAGAUCACUCAACCUUCUCUAGAGGAAUACAGGACACGGAGAAUAACAACCAAAAUAGAAAUACAAUGAGCCUGGCCCAUGAAAUAGUCUUGGCUGAGAUAUUAUCUUCAGAGUUACAGGAAGAAACCCGAAACUCCCAGAAACCCCAGACUUCAUCUAUGGGCUCCCAGACGGAAAACAAUGACUGCUAUCCUCAGGACUGGCUGCUCUCUAUAAAUCUGGAUCUGGCAGCUAUGAAAAAAUACUUAACAAUAACAAAUGGGCUGCUCCUGACAUUAGUGGAAAAUUAUCCCCUCCAAGCUAAAGGCUCAGAACUUCAUGGUGUUGAUCCACAAACCACCCCUCAAGAGCCAGAAUAUACAAAGCAACCAGCAACCAGCAAGUGCACACAAGGAUCAGCAGCGGAAAAUCAUUUACACCAAGGAAAGGACAUAGGGCUGUAUGUAUCUGUCCCUAAAACUGAAUUUCCUAUCGAAGUAAAUCAAAAGAAGCGAGGCAUUAGUAAGAGAUCCCAUAAGAAGAAAGCUGAAACUAAAAAGAAAAGUAAGAACAUAAAAACUGCAAGGAAAUCUGUUACAAACCGACGUGCAUGCAAAGUAUGCUGGAAAAGACUAUAUAAGCUGAUUCCAACAAAAUCAAAAACAAACUCUAACAAACCUGCUAUACAUGGCAGCAGAGAGAACAACAGUGUGGAUCCAGGAAAAAAGAUCCAGCUGAAGUCUUUGAAAGAAACAUCAUUGCUGCCUAACAAAACAAGUGAGGAAACGGAAUCACUACCCGGGUGCUCUAUGCUGAAACCUCAAGGAUCCAUAAAUAUUAAAGAAGACUCACCCCAUACUAUUGAUUAUGGCAGAUUUCAAGAUGAGCCAGUAGCAGGGCAAGACUUGCCCCAGGAUAAAGGAUGGAAACUGAUGUUGGCAGAUAGGAAGUUAGCUUUUCUUAACUACCCGAAGCCAAAGGGCUUCCUUACACAGGAAGAACGCUCGGUGCAUUUUGUGAAUAUUUUAGAUGAUAUGCUGCCAGGGAAAAUAAAAUUAAAUGACAUUACCUCAGUAGAUUUCAUAUUCUACAAUGGAUACUCUCUGCGAGUGAUUGCCUCCUUCAAAGAUCAAAACUUGGCUAAAUAUAUAUAUAGAUCAAGACAUCUGCUGUCAAAGAAAAGGAUAACGGUAACAAGAUUUUUCGAAAACAGCACAUGUUUGAAAUUGUUUCCUGAUGAGUUUACGACAGCUGAGAUAAGAUUUAUUUGUAAACCAAAGGAGGAGAGAGGAUACUCAAAAGACAAACUGGAACAUACUGAGCAAGGGUCCUUGAAACUAAGACAGGAGAUGAGAUUGCCUAAUGAGGGGAUGGAUAACUUCUAUCCAGAAGAAAAGGCAUUAAUAAAUCAGUUUGGAUUGUUGCCUUUCUUUGCCCAAUCUGAGAUCUUGAGAAGAUUGGAGACCCUUAGAAAUAAGUUAACAGAGAUGAAUGCUCAGGAAAAAGUAAGAGAGAAAGAACCGGCAACGGACCAAUUAAAGAAAGAGAACCUCUCUGAAAAAGCCAAGACAGACCCCAUGAAAGAUUACUCUUAUAAUACCUCUACAAUUGCGGAGAUAAACCUGUUAACAACAGAUCUAACACAGUGCGCAAGGGAUAAACUACCAUCUAAGAAGGAAACCAUCCUUAUGGCAACCACGAAAGACUACCCUUAUAAUACCUCUGCAGCUGCAGAGAUAAACCUGGCAGCAACAGAUCUAACACAGUGCGUAAGGGACAGCAACAAUCUACCAUCUAAGAAGGAAACCAUCCCUAUGACAACCACAACGCGCUCUUGGACCAGCAUGAGAUACCUGGAUGAGGAUGAACUUGGUAUCAGUCAAAUAGAACACCUCAAGGUAGAUUCGCCAAAAAAAGGAGUACUGAUCACUAAUGUUAGCACGCUGCACCCUUCAACUGAUUCCAUUGAGUACCUGGGCGAUAAUACAUCUAUGGACAUUGCCAAAAUGAAUGAAAUCCAACCAACAGAUAAAAAGAUAGGCCCAAAAAAUCUUUCAAAGGCAAAUUGA